UCACCUGAGGCGACCUUCCUUUGUUCCGCUCGGCGGCACGCUCUGUGUCCCACGCACAGAUUCUGCUUCCAAGUUUGGGACCAUUUCCCCCUUCGAAUCAUGGCGUUGCUGUUUCCCUCCUGUGUAUCAGACCUGGCUCCUGCAGACCACCAUGUGAGGAAAACUAAUUUUUUACAGAAUAGGUGUUUAUAGUCUGGGGAACAUCACCGAGACUCCUGGGGCCUUGUUGCUGAAUGACUUUUCUUCUGGUUUCUCUGCAGGCCAAGCAGACUCUCCCAUGUUGAGGACACAGGACCUUGGCAUCAGGAAGAGAGAAUCCCAAUAACAGCUCCUCGGUUUCUUAGCCUUGUGGCCUGAGGCAGUAUUGUGAGCCUCAGUUUCCCCCCUGUGAAGCAAGGGGGAAACACCUGCUUCUCGGUGCUGGGUGGGGCCCCCACGGGGCAGAGGUGAUAGGGCGCCGAUCCCACUGAAGGACGGCCAGGCGGAGGGACGCUCGCAGCUAACCCUCACGCUCCGCUCUGAUCGAGAGCUCGCAUGUCGGUGUCUAGCUUGGUGCUGGCCGGCCGUGUCUGCGUCGGGGCUCCUGCUAAUGCAGGCCCUAAAAUGAAGGCCGCAGGGACAGGAGUUUCUCUGGGAGGCCAUCCCAGGAGGCUCCUGCAGCGGAGGCCAAGGCGCUGACAUAGCUCCAGGGGCCACACCCAUAAGAGUGUCCCAGUGCAGGCAGUAGGGGCUCAGCCCUGCUGGGGUCCUCCCCUCGGACCGCUCAGCCGGUCGGGGGCGGUUGGCUGCCACUCUGGGCCCGGGGCUGCUCCAGCACAUCCUUGUCCACCCAACAGAAGCUCUCGCGGCCAUGGCACUUGCUGUAGAGGUCAUGGGUCUGCGAACAUGAGCUUCCAGGAAAUGUGGCAUCAACAGCGUCUGCUACGACGACCCUUACGUUUUGCAGAAGAUGCCUCGGCAUUUACCGUGUACUUCCGGUGACUCAGUGGGCAGACUGGGCUGUGCUGGGGUCACCGCAGGUGCUCACCUCCCUCGGGCACUGGACGGGGCUGCCGGGAAGGGGCUCUCUGCCCCCGAGGCAGACCCUGGAGGAGCCGACAGCUGGGGCGGCUCUUCCUGGAAGGAGUAACUGGAUGACGUGUCUGUCCGGCACAUUCGCCCUAUCUCGCUUCUAGAAUUCCGGCAGGCAGGCUCUCCCAGCCCGGUGCCACCCCUCCCCGGACCCUUCUGUGCAGGAGAGGCUCCAGGGGCUGACAUGUGGAGUGAAAGGCCGGGCUCCCUGCCCAGCACACUGCAGCGGGCCAGUGGCCUGUGCUCCCCUCACACUGCCGGCUCGCUGCGUAGCAUCUACACUCCUCAAAAAUUAAUACACAGAAAUUUCCCCAAACCAGAGACACGAGCUUCCGUAUCGAAGAAGCCCACUGAACGCCCCAGAACAUGAGUGUCAAAGACCAGUGGCGAAGCACGUCAUUAUGAAGCUUCACAGAUUGCAACGAGCCAAGUUUCUGAAUUUUGUUUCAAAGUUAAGCUGUUCAAUUUAUAAAUAAGGGUUCAUAAAAGUGUAUUCUAACUUUGUGAGGCAGAGUUAAUUGGACUGAAUCACUGCAGUUGUGAGUAAAAUCAGCCUCCAAUAAGAAAUGUCAUUUUGAGGACGCCUGGGUGGCUCAGUUGGUUAAGCAGCUGCCUUCGACUCAGGUCAUGAUCCCAGCGUCCUGGGAUCGAGUCCCACAUCAGUCUCCUUGCUUGGCGGGGAGCCUGCUUCUCCCUCUGCCUCUGCCUGCCACUCUGUCUGCCUGUGCUCACUCUCGCUUCUCUCUCUCUCUGACAAAUAAAUAAAAUCUUAAAAAAAAAAAAAAAUUUGUAAAAAAAAAAAAAAAAAGAAAAGAAAUGUCGUUUUGAACUUGAAGGGAACAAAGACAGUUAUCUGUCUGUACCAAGUAGCCUGAAAACUUUGACUCUCUUGUGGCAAACAUACUCUGGUCCCAAGGUUAUGAGAAAACUGCAUGGAACUAUUAACACUAUCAGUAUUCCAAGAAAGCCGCUUCGAGUUCCUACCACAAAGACUUAGCCAGAGUCAACUCUAUACUGAUGAGAUCUACAGGACGGGUAGAUUUCGCAGGCUCGUCUGGUGGAAAACCACCUACUGUCCAGCUCAGGGUUCUUUUCAAAAAGUGCCUGUUUCAGCAGAUUCCCAUUGUCUUGGAGUAUCUCAUUAAAUACUUGUGCUUCCGCUGAACGUUCUGGCCAAGGCUGGAUUAAAGAAUGUGGGACUCAGAGUUCUCUGCUUCCACCCCAAGCGUCGGAGAGAACCGAUAAUCCGGAGUUUCGCAGAGGAGAAUAACACGGCUCCCCUAUUGUGGCAGACACUGUAAAUGUCUGCCUGGUAGCCCUUCCCCUUUUCUGGGGAAACAGUAGAACCCAGAUCAGAGGCCUGCAGUACGGCCCAUCCUGUGGAAGGAGUCACCACGGGGCCCGCAGGGUCAUCUAGGACCCCGUGGCCAGGUGCUGGAAGGGGUGUGGUAUGGCCGGGCCCCUAGCAAGGGAAUUCAGGGUCACCUCUGCUGAGGAUGGCUUCAUCUUACUGCCCCUCUCCCUGUGACUCAGGACGCGAGGUCCGGAGCCCAUGCAACCGUCUCAUCCCAGCAGAGAGUGCCGUGGCUGACACACUGGAGGUGAAGGAGCCGAUUGCCGGAAGGGGCCUGGGCCCUUGAUGAGCGUGGAGACGUGCCAGACCCACCUCAGGAUCACUUCCUUCCAGACCUCCCGCUGAGGGAACAGUCAAGUUCUGUGCCUGCUGUGGGGCUUGAACUCAUGACCCUGAGAUCAAGAGUCACCUGCUCACCCUCCUGAGCCAGCCAGCCGGAUGCCCAAAGGAGCAGUCUUUAAAGAAGAAAUAUUUGGAGAUGGUGCAUUUCACACUUAAAAACAAGAGGCCCCGUAUUUAACAUACAUCGUUGGCUCAUGAGGGUUGCAUGCACGGCCAGCAGGACCGCCCCUCACAGCCGCAGGAAGCUUGUCCAACACACGUGUUUUCUCCAUGGGACCCGUCAUAGCCUUCCCGGGCUUAGGAGCUCAAGACAACACGUCAGCACCGUGUCUGGGGGGACUUUCAGCAGAGAAAUCACCAGCAAAUGCCUGAGAAUGAGAAAAACACGGCAGGAAGCUGACCGCGUAGAGGACAUCUGCGUCCAGUAUGAGCCAGGACAAGCAGGCAGAGUGCCACCUGUUUGACCGCAGCUGUACCGACGUCCAGAGUGCUGUCAGGGUCACAGUCUGGAAUUAAAGCAGAAAGCCUCUGUGUGUUCCCACGGUAAGACCCCCGAGGUCCCAGAGCGAGACAGCACGUUGCGGAAGGGAGCAGACGGACGGCGAAUGCUCGGAGGACGCGCCCUGACACGCACCCGAACGCCAAAUCCAGAGCCGAGACGACGUGCAGCUCUUGCUGUCGCCGGUGGGACAAGGCCACCGCGCUGUCUCACCCGAGCUGGACAGAAAGGAGCUAAGGUGCCCCCGGCCGUAGUUGGGAUGUGACCGCGAGGACGUCUGGGACCGGCCUGCCCAUGUGCCCUGGGAAAAACCGGGAGACGACCGACCCACCCCGCCACGGAAAUAUGAAUGAGCCGUUGCCUCUAGAAGCCAUCAAACCAGUUUUGGAGGCUGUGUUUUACCGUAGAUGCUGGGUCAGUACCUGAGGACCCGCAGGACUGAAUGUCGGCCCCUGCGUGCGGAAGGAAGCGCCAGCCCGGCACUGCGGGCUUGAGAGCGAGUGCAGGGACCCUUCCACACGACCUUCUGUUUGCUUAAGGAGACCGGGGUUGGUUUCCGCUCUUUCCACAGAUCAAGCCCUAAGUAACACACAGAUGGGUACCAGGGGUGGAGUACGUGGAGACAGUGGGUUCAGGACGGCCACGCGUUCCUUGUCCAGAGCCGUGCUCUCUGACGGUCCGUGACCACGCGUGCGGCGGGCGUGAAGCUGCGCCAGCGCAGGCCGAGCCUUUCCGGCCGGUGGACACGGCCUUCGCCUCCCGCAGCCUGCGCGGCCGUGUCGGUCAGACUCCCCCGAGGCCCUCGAGCCAUGAAAAACCCGACCUGUGUGAAGACGUCCCAGAGAGGAAGACACCGCGUGAACAGGAAGGGGAGAAAGACGCAAGCACGGAGCCGCGCCGAGCAGGGGAGGCGUCUGGAAGGGAAGGCCAGGCCUGAGGCGACCUCGUCCACCCUGCGUAGCUCCGAGACCGACAAAGCCGUUGAGGUCUUCCAAAAUUCCUGACCCACAAUCAUAACAUCAAACGGUGGAGGCGCCUGGCUGGCUCAGCCUCUAGAGGGUGCGGCUCCUGAUCUCUGGGUCAUGAGUCCGAGCCCCACUUCAAAA